AUACUGCCAGACAUGCCACCUUUC
rnacentral:miRNA from 1 species